CUACCCGGGUAUCUAAUCCUGUUUGCUCCCCACGCUUUCGCACCUCAGCGUCAAUACAUGUCCAGUCAGUCGCCUUCGCCACUGGUGUUCUUCCGAAUAUCUACGAAUUUCACCUCUACACUCGGAAUUCCACUGACCUCUCCAUGAUUCUAGCGAUGCAGUCUUAAAGGCAAUUCCGAAGUUGAGCUCCGGGCUUUCACCUCUAACUUACAAAGCCGCCUACGCGCGCUUUACGCCCAGUAAUUCCGAACAACGCUAGCCCCCUCCGUAUUACCGCGGCUGCUGGCAC
rnacentral:rRNA from 1 species